CUUGCUCUAGUUUUAAACUGUUCUUUUCUAAAAUGAUUUUAGAUUGAAAAGCUUGCUCUAUGGCUGGCUUGUGAACCUGUUCAGCCAUUGCUCAUAGGCUUCAAUAGAUCCAAUUAAUAGAUCUAACUAAUUCAUACAUUGUAAGCUUUGAAAGGUCUCUUGGUUCUUCUAUUGCAAUAACGAUAUGUUCAAAUUUUUGUAGCAAACUUCUAAGAAUUUUUUCAAUAACCUUCUUGAGGAUAGUAUCACCACAACUUUUUAUUUGAUUAAUAAUUUCAACAGUCUCGAGAGAAAAUCUUUAACAACUUCACUAUCUUUC
rnacentral:lncRNA from 1 species